UUCUCUCUCAUCUAGUUAAGAGCUUCAAACCCUAGAUCUAACUUCACUAGCCGCACCUUCAGACUACAGAACCACCAUUUUGACGAGUUUCGCUGUCGUCAACCGCUCUAAUUUCAUCGGCAAACUGCAACAGAUUCAUGGACAUGGAAGAAAGUAGUGAUGCGUCAAAGCCAUCAGCUCCGAGAUGCAGAUUCCACCGCCAUUAGCCUCUACUAAACAAGCGACUAUGCCUAUUAAUGAUCAGUCCACACAACAAGAUUUUGAUUCACAACAUAAUUCCAUGGAUUUACCUCCACGUCAACCUAAAAGGCUUAAAUCAGAAGUCUGGAAUCAUUUUGAGAAGUUGACAAUCAAUGGUGUAGCAAAAGCAAGAUGUCUACAUUGUAAAAACCUCUUCUCACGAAAUAGUAAAAAUGGGACCUCCCAUUUAAAAGACCAUAUUGAGAAUAGGUGUGUUAAAAUGCAUGUAGUGAAGAUCGAUGUGCGCCAACAACAUUGUCUAUUAAUCGUAGAUAUGAUUCAACAAGAAUAGAAAACCAUGUAUUUAGUCAAGAAGUAUCAAGGAAAGAGUUAGCUAACAUGGUUAUUCUCCAUGAGUA